CAUUUAUUAGAACUAAACCAAUCGGGCUCGCCCGUUGUUUGGUGAAUCUGAAUAACUCCGCAGAUCGCACGGUCUAGCACCGGCGACAUAUCUUCCAAGUGUCUGCCUUAUCAACUUUCGAUGGUAGUUUAUGUGACUACCAUGGUUGUAACGGGUAACGGAGAAUUAGGGUUCGACUCCGGAGAGGGAGCCUGAGAAACGGCUACCACAUCCAAGGAAGGCAGCAGGCGCGCAAAUUACCCACUCUCGGCACGAGGAGGUAGUGACGAAAAAUAACGAGACAGUUCUCUCUGAGGUCUGUCAUCGGAAUGGGUACAAUCUAAACCCUUUAACGAGGAUCUAUUGGAGGGCAAGUCUGGUGCCAGCAGCCGCGGUAAUUCCAGCUCCAAUAGCGUAUAUUAAAGUUGUUGCGGUUAAAAAGCUCGUAGUUGGAUCUCUGGUCUUGCCGGCCGGCCUCCCUCAGGGUUGUACUGGACGGCGGACCCGAACUGCUAGUUUUCUGUGCGUGCUCUUCACUGGGUGCGUACAGUGGCUAGCGCGUUUACUUUGAAAAAAUUAGAGUGCUCAAAGCAGGCU
rnacentral:rRNA from 1 species